rnacentral:tRNA from 1 species
UCCCUGGUGGCCCACUGGUUAGGACACAGAGCUUUCACUGCUGUGGCCCAGGUUCAAUUUCUGGUCUGGGAA